rnacentral:lncRNA from 10 species
GGCCGAGAUGAGCGGAUCUCCUGAGGUUGGGAAUUCGAGACCAGCCUGACCAACAUGGAGAAACCCCGUCUCUACUAAAAAUACAAAAUUAGCCUGGCAUGGUGGCGCAUGCCUGUAAUCCCAGCUACUUGGGAGGAUGAGGCAGGAGAAUUGCUUGAACCCGUGAGGCAAGGAUUACGAUGAGCUGAGAUCACACCAUUGUACUCCAGCCUGCGCAACAAGAGCAAAACUUUGUCACAAAAAAAAAAAAAAAAAAAAAAAAAAAAAGGCUGAGGUGUUAAACAACUAGUGUGACAGGGCUAGUUCCAAUGAUUCCAAUACAUACUGUCUCCUAAGUCUACAAUCAUAACUAAACCAUUUCAGUCAGAGGGAAAUAGGGAAUAUAGUGGCAAGGAAGCAAAUCACAUAGCAAGAGGGUGACAGAGGUUAAAUCACUACAUCAACAGAGAGUGGUGUAGUAAAGGGAGGAAGGGCUGGGAAAACUGCAUGAGGGUGGAUUACAGAGAGCUCUGAAUGCCAUUCUUGGUAGGAUAAAAUGUGAGAACUGAACCCCAACUGAGAAGGUGCCAAUUAAUUCAGGUGGCACUGACCUGUGAGGCUGAGGAGGUCUUAAUCACCAGAACACUAAAUGCUCAUUAUCCAACCUUUUAAUUAGCAAAGAAACUACCCUGUCUGGAAAAGUUUUCAGCAAAGAACUAAGAUUUGAUCAUGCUGUUAAAGAAAAAAAAAGAAAAGAAAAAAACAAUCCUCUGAUCUCUCCCAGGCAACAAAUCUUGUAUUUCAGAUGUAUGUUUUCAUAUCUUCCAGGUCCCAAUUGGAGAGAAAAUGAGGAAAAGGAGGAACAGAUGGGACUAAAAGCAGAAGGCACCUGAUGAAAGAGAAAAAGCAAGGCUGGGGGAAGGGUGUUUAGAGAAGGACUGGGAGAACAAAAGCAAAGAAUCUGAAAUGAGAGCAUGCUUUCUUCCGUUCCCAUGAACUUCAGAAUGAGCCACAUCUUUACUCAAAGCCUCCUCUGCUAUUUAUAUGUGUGACCUUAGGCUCUACAACCAUUCCAAAGAAAAACAGGUGAGGAGCUAAAUGAUGUUGCAAAAAUCAGUGAAUUUGGAAUAAAAAACAUCUGUAUUCAAAUAUUGACUCUGUGGUAGGUAAGACUAGAGGAUCAGACAGGAGGGCAAAUAUGUUGAAUCUUUACUUAAAGGCCAACUCCCUUGCUGCCUACUUUUUUUUUUUUAAGAGACAGAUUUUGCUGUUUCCCAAGCUGGAGUGCAGUGGCUAUUCACAAAUGCAAUCAUAGCACACUACAGCCUUGAAAUCCUGGGACCAAUCAGUCCUCCUUCCUCAGCCUCCUGAAUAGCUGGGACUACACCUACCUAUUUUUGUGCUCUACACUUAUCUAUUUCCCUUAAGAGAUUAUAUGAACCUCUGGACUCUGGAGCAUUUUGAGGUCCUGUGGUAAAGGCCUUGGUCAUGUCUGCAUAAAAGUCAGCAUGGGAUAUCCUCAAAGCUGCAAGGCUCCACCUAUGUAGACACUACUGGGAGCAGGAUGCCUGGGAGACGAAGCAGGGCAGCAUAAAUUUUUGUAGCAGAGGCAGCAUCUACAGGGGGUGUCUUUGUGUCUCGGAGGAUUGUUGCAAAAGAGUUCAUAAAUGUGCAGUUCCCUAUCUUCCCCAACCCUUCAAAGAUGGGAAAGAACUUCAUUUAGAUGUUCCAUCCUACCCCGUUUUUUUACUGAUCUGGGCAAUACCAGGUCCCCUUAACACACACACACACACACACACACACACACACACACACACACACACACACACACUUCCUGCAAUAUAUUGUGCUGAAAAUCAGCCUUGCUGUCACAGUUCCAUUAUCAGGAGAGUUUGGAGUAAUGCCCAGCCUAGUCUAUAAUGAAAAAUUGUGGCUCAGUGUCCUGAUUAAAACCAUAUCAUCCUUUCUUGUCUAUAGCUCCGUUCUUAAUUUCAGUCUAGCCCAAGACGCUAUCUAAGGUGGCUUGGAAUGCAGGCCCACAUGUUCCUUUCUGCUGUGAGUACAAGCAGAACAGGCAGAGCUGGGAUUCAAAUUGACCUCUCUCUGAUUCUGAACCCCAUGGUCUUUCCCAUGAAGAGAUCUAGUUUUUUUUGUUUUUGUUUUUGUUUUUUUUUUUCAUCUGUUAGGGGCUGUUAUGGGUUGACUUGUGUUUCCUCCAUCCUCCCUGAAAAAGAUAUUUUGUAGCCCUAACCUCUAGUACCCCAGAAUGUGACCAUAUUUGGAGAUACGGUCUUUAUAGAAAUAUUAAAGUUAAAAUAGGUUCAUUUGGUGUGAGCUCUAAUCCCAUAUGACUGGUGUCCUUAUGCACAGAGGAAAUAUGAAUACCAAGAAAGAGACACAGAGGAAUCAGAGAAAAGACAGACACCUAUGAGCCAAGGAGAAAGGCCUAGAACAGAUCCUUCCCUCACAAUCCUCAGAAGGAACCAAGCCUACCAACAACACCUUGAUCUCAGACAUUCAGCCUCCAAAACUGUGAUGCAAUCAGUGGUGCUUUGUUAUGCCAGUCCCAACAAACUAAUACAGGAGAAAUUCAGAGUUUUCAAACUGGAAGUGCAUGUCCGUGAACAUUAGAUUGUUGCAGCCAUCCAACUGUACAGUGCACAGCUCCAGAGGGCAGUAUUCCCAGGGUCACAUCAUGGUGCAUUCCUGCACUAGACGUCAUACACCACACAGCCUCACACAGUGGUCCCUGACCAAGCUGACACAGAUAGAGUCUCCUCCUGUGAGACAUCUGUUACAUAUGUUACAUGUGUUAAACCUGUUAUAAAUUCAGUUAAAUUGCCCUCAAAGUAAAGAUUAUAAAAGAAGGAUGUUAAGGGAGAUACUGUUGGAUUUGUUGCAGUGCAUUUAAAAAUAGAUAACUUCAAGGCCAUGGAAUAUGGGACUGUUUUUUAGCACAAAAUUAUAAAAGUGGAGAACUAAUAUAUGUUAACCUAUCGGGAAACUCAUCUGAGUAUGAGCUGGGCAGACGUUUUGAUUGUCUAUGGAGGGCUGGACUUCCCACUUUUCUCCCACUCAUCUGACAGGAUCAGUUUUUCAGGUGAUGAAUUAGGAACAAGGUGAGAAGGAGGUGGCUCUAGACACCCUGGAUAUAGCACUGUUUUCUGUUAAUGAGAUUCAGAUGGCCUGAUAAUUAAAGCUGUCUCCAAAACAGAAUGGCUUUCCUCAUCUAGCAUCCUUGGCACAGGGUAAUUCAACUGAAGACUGGGUUCAUUUAUCCAUUCAACUCCCUAAUAAAUACUUAUGGAGUAUUAGGCAAUGUCCUGGAUAUUGGAGGAAUACAAAGAAUAGUGCCAGUCAUAUCAAUCUUGCUCUCAAAGAGUUUAGGUUCUAAGGAGAAAUAAGGUAGAUGCGUAGAAAAUUCCAAUAUAGAAUAUAAAACUAUGUGUCACAGAAAAAGU